rnacentral:misc_RNA from 1 species
GUUUCGGCGACGUAGACCGAAUUGACGGAAAUCGUAUUCUGAUAGGGGUUCGGAAACUCAAUGUCGUAGGACGUGGAAGUACCGAACACCGUUCGUAAAUGCGCGUUGAAGUAAUUAUCGGCCGGAUCAUCGGACCAGAGAGCAAAGCAUCCACCCGGUUUUAGCUGGUUUCGUACCGCAACGAGCCCCUCAGUUUUGUAGAAAGAUUCGUUUCCGGCGUCAAGGCAAUGCUCCGGCGAGUGGUCAAUGUCUAACAGGAUCGCGUCAAACUUACGGCCGGGGGUAAACUUAUCGAAACCCGUCCGCGCGAGCUCGAAAAAAUCGCCUUGGCGCAGUUCGCA